AUGGUAUUCUUCUUCCGACAGGUCUUCCUGCUGGCCAUAGACUUACUACUCGCAAUGACCCUCUCUUGCCUCCUUUACGCCUUCGUAUGCAUUUCCAUUGCAUUUCUGACCUGCUUCACUAUCUUCUUCUUCUUUGGAAUUAUGGAGAGGAACAUUGAUGUAAAAGGGAGGGCGAUUGUAAUCCUCGUGUCCAACAGCUCCAUUGGCAGGAUGUUUGCAAGGAACCUGGAUAAAGCCGGUUUUAAAGUGUCUGCUGCGCACUGGCCUCCUCAGAAGGAAUGGAAGACUACAAAGGAAGAGUGCUCUCCAAGCAUCGAGACAGCACAGCUCCACAUGACUGACGACGAGUAUCAGAAGAUGAUGAAAAACUUCAUAGAAAGCCACGUAUCCCUGAAAGGCAUGUAUGGGACGAUGAAGAAGCCGUCAAUCCUGAUAUGGGAAGAACAGGAAUUGCACACAAACAGGUCACCCGAGAGAAAAGCCUCUUACAAAUGGAAGAAAGUUUUCAAGGCUUCAGCCUUCUGUGUCGCAGUCCUCUUUCGCCCACUGAACUGGGCACUGACUUUUCUGAAGACAGGUCUGCAGUUACUCACGUGCCUGGUGAAGUCCAAAAACUGAGAGGAAAAGAAAACCAUGGAGCAAUACUUGUUAAUAUUGCAAUGCCACAAUCAAAAGAAGCUACAGGAAGGAAAAUAGCUGGGAUCAACAGUGACGAGUUCCUGGCCGGGGAUAAUUCUGAAUGGUGACUCCAACUGCAGGACAACAAAAAAACUGUGAAACAGGUCUCUAUCUUACUUGCAAGACUAAUCUGCAAGGAAGAGAACACUGAAUUUCUGGGUUGUACAGCACAAGGCUGUGCUCUACACGCUGCGAUACAAACAUACAGAGGGCAAAACCAUCUGAGGUGAAAUGAAAUAAAGGAAGAACUCUGCUGAGAAGAAAAAUGCUA
rnacentral:lncRNA from 1 species